rnacentral:lncRNA from 1 species
CUUUUAAAGAAAACCCAGGAGAAAAUUUUUGAGAACUUGAGGCAAGAAGUGGAGACUUCCAGGAAACAUGACGGUGUUAACUGGACAUUUUUUAAAACCUCCUCCCUGAAACCUACAAAAACCAACAAAGGAACUAAUGAUUAAAAUGAAAACCAAACUGAAACUUAGAGACAGCCUUAACCUUUCCCUAUGAAUGCCAAGGAAUACUUGCCAGAUAGAAUACAACUUGAACCAAAAUGAAAUAUGAUGCUGGAGUUUGGCCACAAUUCCUGUGCUUCGGAACCAACGCAGUGCUGUGGGCCCAAGAGCCUUGCUAACACAAACCCCCCGACCCCAAGCUGAGAUCUGGCGAUGUGGUUGGACUCGGAAUGAGAAAGGUUCCUCCUGCACCACAGAUCAGCUCCAGCGGAGAGGCCUCGUGGGACCAGGUACUGCCAAUGUUAAUGAGUCCCAGCUUUUUUAUGGUGAAACAAAGGGAUUCGAUUGGAAAUAAAGCAAAUUUCUUAUCAAAGAAGAAAAUUAAAGGUAGAGAAAAGUGUGUGCUGAUACCACCCCCAACCCAUCCCUAAUCAAAUCUCAGGGCUGCCUUGAUCUUACCAUGAGCAUCAUGAAUGAGGUUUUUGAAUGCUUUUAAAUACACAAAUGAGACUCACGUCAAAUCAACGGAAUCAGAAUCUACAAAAGCGAGGCCCAGACAACAGUAGUUGAAAAAACUCCCCAUUAUGAGAUAACAUGUUUAGCCUAAUCAAUAGGCAAAAUUUAAAAGUAUUUAUAACAACCCAAUGUUGGCAGAGGUAAAAAGAAAUAAACAUGUUUAUAGGAAUUCUGAAGAAAAUGGUCAUGGGGUAAGAAACUUUUAUUUUAUAUAUUUAUAUAUAUUUUUAUAUAUUUAUAUAUAUUUAUAUUUAUAUAUAUGUGUGUUUUUUUUUAGAUGGAGUCCCCAGCUCCCAGGCUCAAGGGAUUCUCUUGCAUCAGCCUCCUGAGUAGCUAGGAUUACUGGCACACACCACCAUGCCUGGCUAAUUUUUUUGUAUUUUUAGUAGAGAUGGGGUUUUGUAUUUAAGAGGCAGAAUCUCACUGUCUCCCAGGCAGGAGUGCAAUGAUGCAAUCAUAACUCACUGCAGCCUCAAACUCCUGAGCUCAAGUGAUCCUCCCACCUCAGCAUCCCAAAGUGCCGGGGUUAUAGGUGUGCACCACCAUGCCUAACUAAUUUUUUAAUCUUUUUCUGGAGACAGUGUCUCACUAUGUUGCCCAGGCACUGGUCUCAAAUGCCUGGCCUCACGUGACCCUUGAGCCUUGGCCUCCCAAAGUGCUAGGAUUAUAGGUGUGAGCCACUACCACGCCUAGCCUUGGAUCACAAAUUUUCACGUGGAGUGAUAUCCACUAGUGUAACACUCUGGAUCUCUAUAUUUCCUCGCUCACUUCUCUGAUUAGUAAAUGGAGAAAGGAAAAGGACUGUUAGAUACAAUCCUCUUGUUCUCUCUCCUCAGCUCUCCCUUCCCGCAGAGAGCACUGACUUUGACAUUGUACUUAGCCAUCACUCCCUGUGGCUGGCCAAGUGGUACAUGUCCUAAUUCUGGGUGCAACAUACCAGAACUGGCACUGUGAUCCCCGUCAACCUGACCCCAACUUCGGAGAGAGAAGAAAAGCGCAAUUUGUGAAUUCCCCUCAAGCCCAUCGGGGCAAAGUCAACAAAGAUAGAUGUAAAAAUAACAUUGGCGGCCAGGCGCGGUGGCUCACACCUGUAAUUCCAGCACUUUGGGAGGCGGAGGCAAGCAGAUCACGAGGUUAGGAGUUCGAGACAAGCGUGGCCAACAUGGUGAAACUCC